rnacentral:tRNA from 1 species
GACAGGCUGUCCGAGUGGUUAAGGAGUUUGACUUGAAUUUGUAUAAGGUUCAUGGUUAUCAAAUGCGGUCCCCGCGCGUAGGUUCGAAUCCUGCGCCUGUCG